rnacentral:lncRNA from 1 species
GUUGAGAUAAAAUUUUUCAUCUCCCGACUUUCUUAAUCUCGGACGAGAAGUAGGUUCGACAGCCAAUUUUAGCAUGAUUCUAUCCAUGCCAUCAGCGGCGGCAGCAAUGGUGCUAUUCUCUGACCUUCUCUUUGACAGCCGAUGAUGAUAGAGUUGAUAGACGCGAUCUCUUCUCUCUUUUUUCCCCCAUUCUCCCUCUCCCUCCUACCCAUCGUCCG